UCAUGAAAUGAUUUGUCUGGUAAAUUUCAUUAAUUUACCAGUGUGCUUCCUGCUGAAUAUGGUUGUUAGAAAAUGUCACUGAUUAGACCUUUUCACAGAGACAUGUAUUCUAGUAGAUGCAGGAAGAUACAAAAAUAAGA
rnacentral:rRNA from 1 species